rnacentral:rRNA from 1 species
UAAUACGGAGGGUCCGAGCGUUAUCCGGAAUCAUUGGGUUUAAAGGGUCCGUAGGCGGACAGCUCAGUCAGUGGUGAAAGUUUGCAGCUCAACUGUAAAAUUGCCAUUGAUACUGGUUGUCUUGAAUUAAUGUGAAGUGGUUAGAAUAAGUAGUGUAGCGGUGAAAUGCAUAGAUAUUACUUAGAAGACCAAUUGCGAAGGCAGAUCACUAACAUUAUAUUGACGCUGAUGGACGAAAGCGUGGGGAGCGAACAGGAUUAGAUACCCUGGUAGUCCACGCCGUAAACGAUGGAUACUAGCUGUUCGGUAGCAAUACUGAGUGGCUAAGCGAAAGUGAUAAGUACCCCACCUGGGGAGUACGUUCGCAAGAAUG